rnacentral:rRNA from 1 species
UCAGGAUGAACGCUAGCGGAGGCUUAAUACAGUGCAAGUCGAGCGGUAAGGUUUCGGACCUAGAGCGGCGAACGGGUGAGUAACGCGUACGAAACCUGCCUUUAAGAGAGGGAUAGCCCUGGGAAACUGGGAGUAAUACCUCAUAGUAUUCAUUAACCGCAUGGUUUAUGGAUUAAAGCUACGGCGCCUAAAGAUGGUCGUGCGUCUGAUUAGCUAGUUGGUAGGGUAACGGCCUACCAAGGCUACGAUCAGUAGGGGGCGUGAGAGCGUGGCCCCCACACGGGUACUGAGACACGGACCCGACUCCUACGGGAGGCAGCAGUAAGGAAUAUUGGACAAUGGUCGAAAGACUGAUCCAGCCAUCCCGCGUGCAGGAUGACUGCCCUAUGGGUUGUAAACUGCUUUUAUAUGGGAAGAAUAGCAUAGAUUCAUCUGUGUAUGACGGUACCAUAUGAAUAAGCACCGGCUAACUCCGUG